CAGCCAGGGAUUACGGGCCACAACUCCAAAUGGUAAAGUAUUGAAAUAAUUUAUUGCAGGUGGAAAGUAUCUCAAGCUUGAAGGUUGCAGUGUAACACAAGUGUUGGGUACCUAUGGGAAGGUGCCCAUUCUGGAAGCCUAGUGAUAGAUUGUGCUUGAACUCUGGAGGUGUCGAGAGAAAGGGAUGGUUCACAGCUAAGUCUUAGAAGGAAGAAAUCAAUCUAGCAUUACCAAGGGAAUAGAUUCUUUAACUCUGGAGUGAUUAUAUUUGGAGGGGAGGUGUUAAUGUGGUUGAUUUUGUUUGGUUUGUUUUUCACUUGCUUGUGUGUUCCCUGUGAUUUUAAGUAUUAAAUGAUGAAAAGAGUAACAGCUUGAAUCUUGUUGCCCAGGCUUGAGUCCCUGCACAGGUAAAAUGAGCUCUAUGUCUUCAGGCUUCCUCUGGACUUCCAAUGGCUCCACCUUUCAAAUAAAUAUACAACUGUGCACCUCCAUAUAUGUGUCCUACAUGAAGACAACCGCUUCCCCAUAUAAGCUUCCAUCAGAGAAAGUGGAUCUCUCCUGUAUCGUGAGCUGUCAUCUGAAACUAACAAGGAGGAUGUGAUUCCCAGCAAUCUGAGCUACAGUCAAAAGUGCAUGACCUACCAGCCUUGACAUGCCAACUUGGACUAUGAUUUCUGGAAUGGUUGGAAAAAAUAUUUUAAUGUAGUUUACCUUGCUAUACUAUUUCAUUAAUAACUUCUCAAAUUUCACAGGGUACAUCUUUAGAGUCCUUUGACAACCUCAGCAUAUAACACAUAGUAGUUCUUUUUUUGCUGUAGGAAAUAAACUCCUUGAUCUACUUUCA